CCCCUCUCAGGAUCGCACCGGGAGAGUUUUUAGUAUUGUACCAGUCUCGCCUAUGGGAGGGAGAGUCAAGCAGGGGCCUACCCAUUCCAUUCCUAGCUUGGGCAGCAGCUAGCUAAUGGAAGGCAAUCUGCUACAAAU